GCAAACAUACAUAAAACACUGGUCAUCCUAGGCCCUACGGUUCUUGAGAUAUUCACAGAAAACUGUGUCCGGCCUACUCUCCUUUCGGGGGGCCCAAAAAGAUGCUGCGGGUGGGCGACGGAUCAAAACGAAAAUCAGUGGUUCCGUGUCAUCCUUCCCAGAUAGCAAGAGGCUGGUGUAGUACUGGCGGUCCACUGAGGGCAUAUCUGCUGGUGUUUUGCUCAUCGGUUCUCUGGCGGUCCACUGAGGGCAUAUCUGCUGGUGUUUUGCUCAUCGGUUCUCUGGCGGUCCACUGGGGGCAUAUCUGCUGGUGUUUUGCUCAUCGGUUCUCUGGCGGUCCACUGAGGGCAUAUCUGCUGGUGUUUUGCUCAUUGGUUCUCUGUCGGUCCACUAGCGGGUUGCCAACGGCAUGCCACCAGCAGUCUGCUAUCUGCCAAUCUGAUUCUGUUAUCUGGGUUGUGGCAUCAUGUUGUGGGGCCCCAACACGUUUCUUGCUGCCCAGUCUUUCAGUGUCCUGGGAAUC